rnacentral:hammerhead_ribozyme from 1 species
AUACUGCUGAAGAGUCCCAAACUAGGACGAAACGCUGUCCAGUAC